AUUGAACGCUGGCGGCAGGCCUAACACAUGCAAGUCGAGCGAGCGGCGGACGGGUGAGUAAUGUAUGGGGACUGCCCGAUAGAGGGGGAUAACUACUGGAAACGGUGGCUAAUACCGCAUACUAUCGGAUCACCCAUAGGGGAUUAGCUAGUAGGUGGGGUAAAGGCUCACCUAGGCGACGAUCCAUAGCUGGCCUGAGAGGAUGAUCAGCCACACUGGGACUGAGACACGGCCCAGACUCCUACGGAGGCAGCAGUGGGGAAUAUUGGGCAAUGGGCGCAAGCCUGAUGGAGCCAUGCCGCGUGAGUGAAGAAGGCCUUAGGGUUGUAAAGUACUGUUAGUAGGGAGGCGUUACCCGCAGAAGAAGCACCGGCUAACUCCGUGCCAGCAGCCGCGGUAAUUC
rnacentral:rRNA from 1 species